rnacentral:rRNA from 1 species
CACGUAGGGCGCAAGCGUUGUCCGGAAUUAUUGGGCGUAAAGAGCUCGUAGGCGGUCUGUUGCGUCCGCUGUGAAAACUCGAGGCUUAACCUCGAGACGUCGAUGGAAACCAUCUGGCUAGAGUCCGGAAGAGGAGAGUGGAAUUCCUGGUGUAGCGGUGAAAUGCGCAGAUAUCAGGAAGAACACCCGUGGCGAAGGCGGCUCUCUGGGACGUGACUGACGCUGAGACGCGAAAGCGUGGGGAGCAAACAGG